GACUAUAGCCAUUCCACUCUGAACGCAUCCUCAUCUGGUCUCAGAAGCUUAAGCAGUGCUGAGCCUGAUUAGGAACUUGAAUGGGAAACUGCCUGGGCAUAUGGGAUGCAGUAGGCU
rnacentral:rRNA from 1 species